CCAGCGUGUAAAUGGGGACACUUAUUCUUCGAGUUUCAUAGUUAACACUACAAUAAGCCUGUCCAGAUUCUCCUUCCAAAAAGAAUCCCAAGUGUGUUUGAAAAAUAACACUGUCAUGCAGCUUUGUGUUGCCUGUAGCAUUCCUUGCUGCAGCGUAAGCCUCCUGACUCUGAUUUGUUUACACGACAGAAAGAAAUCACCAGAUAAGGAAUCUCAUGUCCUCUGUUUGGCACAUCUUCAGGUUGUUGCACGUCAAUAUCAUGGAUUUGAACUAAAGCCAUCAGAAGUUUUUGUUCCCAGAAGUUUCUUGAAGACAUACAUAACUCAUAAAGCAAAGUCUUGCUAUGGUCUACCUACAAAACUCCCAAACCUGGAGCCUUCAAACAGAUGGAAGAAAAGCAACUUAAUGUCUGCCAAAGAAUGCAGGAAGGAAUAGCUUGAUAAGCCAGAGGAGCAGGCAUAAACAAAGAGACCAUUUGGGCGAUUUUGGUGCCUUUCUGUUACUUUACUCACCUUUUUAUUAAGACUGCAUCUAUGCAGAUCAGUUUCUUCACUUCCAGACUGUAAGCGUGCUGCUCAGCCAAAAUUCUGAUCCUAAUGAAUGUAACUCGACUGCCCUGUCUUUCCUCCUUCCUCAUUUUCAUGAAUGUGUACUUCUAAGCCCCUCUAGCAGACAAUUUACACUUGGAGGGAGAAGAACAUCCCCUGAAGCUGGUAACCUAUCAACCUCAGUUGCAUGUGCAUGUAUAACGCAUCCUGUAAGCUGGUACUAUGAAAUUAGGUGCCCUGUAUGUAAAUCUCCUCUUGAAAUACAGAUGUGCUGUGAGCUGAUGUGAAGGAUGAAAUGUUGUGAAGCCAGAAGGAAUCAUACCUGUUGAAGUAUGUCCAGAGGAGGGCCUCAAAAAUCAUCCAAAGAAUCGAACACCUCAUCUCUGAGGACAGGCUGAGAAAGCUGGGGCUGUUCAACACGGAGAAGAGAAGGCUCUGGGGAGACCUGUCUACAGGCAUUUUGAAGAAAUGGAAGGAAGGAAUACCCCUGAGGUGAAGGUUGUCCCUGCUAAAUCACAUUUACCUGCUCUGACUCACUUCCAGGAAGAUCACUGCCAAAGAGAAGGUAUUUCCUCAUACAGACCUUGCUGGAAACAACUGGAUCAAUUAAACUUAUGUGAGAGAGAGGUACAAAGGAAGUAAAGGGAGGUAUGUAGAUAAUUUACGGGAAAGUUUUAGCCAAAGUGGCUAAGUUUUUACUAACAUAGAAUUAGCUGGAAGUGGUGGAUUUUCUUCAAGUGUUGGGUAACUUACUGGUUAAUAGGCUGGAGUGUUUUUCCUGAAUCUGUUCAGAAUUGUGUAGGUUUUUGAGUCUUCUAUUUCUAUCAACAGACAGAACAAAUUUUAAAGGGGAAAAAAAAUCAAAACAAAACACACAUGGAUGCAUACAAAAAAAAUGCAAAAACAACAACAGCAACAAAAACCUCCAUUGGUUUUGGAAUCUCUUAAUCCUAUUUUUGCUUGUCUCAAUACGAUGUGCAUUUCCGAAGGAGCUUGUGUGCUGAUCUGCACUAUUGCCAUAUGUUCCACAUGUGAGAAUAAUUCAGUGAGAGUAGUCUAUGUUUGUAUGCAGUGCAUAUACACAACAUACACACACACACACACAUAUUCUUAUUUAUACUCAUAAAUCAUUUCUUUCAAGAACAGAUGCUCUUCUACUGCUCUGUACCUUGGUGUUUCUACACUCGAGAGUGCCUUAAUUUGGAAAAAAUUGCAACUGUCACAACUCUGCUGCAGUAAUGGUUUUGUAAGAACCAACUUAAUAAAAACAUCAAGCCUCUCUGUUCCAAACAAUUUUAUUAUAGUUAACAACUCAGCCAGUUAUCAAAUAUGUUGUCACCAAUGCACUCUGUCUCCGUGAAUGAUGACAUAGAUGAGCUCUGGAUUUCUGUAGUGGUUUACACAUAUACACACUGCCUUACAGCUGUGUAGUAGUGUUUCUUUAAGGAAUAAAACUACACAGGAAGGAAGGAUAGAUGUACCCUGUGAUAACUAUUUUUUGAUGAAAAGCUUCUACAGACAUGAAAUUAGUUUACUUCUGCUAAUUUAAACAACAGUGGAAAAAUUGCAAAGUUCACUUUCUGGACCUUGACUUUUCUAAAAUAAGUAUAGAAUUUUUAAUAAUCAUGACCUUCACCUUCAGCUCUGACCUUUGCCUCUCCAAAACAUACCCCUUUGCUGUAUUUGUAUGGGUGCCUUAACACAAAUAACCUCCUUAAUGACAGUUCUAUAUCUAGACUUCACAGAGACUUUUAUUUGCCUUAAUACUUUUUUAUUUUAAAAGUAUACCAGUGUCACCUGCACUUUGCCCAUUGGUAAAUCUCUAUUUGAAAUGUGCUGCCUUUUUAUUGUUAUUUUUCAAGAAUAUGCUACAGAAAUGUUCUCUGUGCAUCAGCUGAAUGUGGAGCUGGGUAUUAUGUUACUCAGCCUUGUACUGAUAUCCAGUUUUCCUCCUCUGUUUAAAUGUCUGAUAUUUCAGGGACAAGUUGGUUUAGAAAUUGAAGCUAAGAAACGCUGAUUUGAGAACUGUGACAAAAUGUCAGUUCUGUAGAGUUUUACCUUUAGAAAAUACAACUGGGUUUGAUUCACUAUGGUUCCUGGUAACCAGUGAAUAGAAAAUGCUUUCUUACUGAUUUUUUUUUUCCUGUCUCCAGAGACACAUUCAGUGUAUGGUAAACUAAAGCCAUUAUAUUUUUCCAGAAAACAGAUGUGAUAAUUAAGAACAGGAAAAGUUUCAAAAUUCAGUGGAAAAAAUAGUUGUCAAGUUUAUUUCUGAAGUGAAGCACAAACAAAAUGCAUGCCAACGUGUGGAUGAUUAAUGGGGGAAUGCCAAAGUCUUUCCAUUAGUUCCUUUUUUCUGCUGAACACAAUCAGGCAUGCUUUGUAUGACCAUCAGAAUUUUACUCUACUCAAUAUACUUGACCAUAAUGCCAAUCAGCAGUUUCCCCUGGCAAAUAAAAGUGUUAAUAACUUCAGUAUAAGAGGACCUUUCCUGCUUUAGAUGGAAUAGUAGAGUCUAACUGUUUGUCAUUAUUCACUUCCUCCUCAUCCUGCUCAGUGUGCAUCUAAAUUAAUUCCUGUUGCUUGGAUGCUCUCUUGAUAAAUACACUAUCUAUAUUUAAUGUCUCUUUAUUCUCAUUUUAUUAUACUUGUAUGCAGUAGUGAAAGAAGAUAACUGGCAGAGCAGUGUAUCACAGCAGAGAAUUUGCUAUUGCUUCUUUGCACUUUUUGGUGGAACAGCUGUAUUUAGAAACACAGACUGUCAGCCACGAAUUGUCUACCUAUGUGCUUACUUUUUCCGAUCCAUGAUAUAGAAUUAUUUGUACUACACUGAUAAAUAUCACCACAUUUCACCCACGCAGCUAUAUAAUAUUUGUUUCCAUAGUAACUGAUUAAUUUGCAAAUGCUCUGAACUGGAGGAUUAAUUGGAAGAAGAGCAGAGGCAUAAAUGUAGUAUAAUAGGUGCUUGUGUGGGUGCUGUAAGGCUUUUGUUGCCUGUGCCAUGAGCAGUGCUCAGGUUAAGAAUGAGAGGUUGAAACUCAAUAUUUUAGGUGAGGUGUGAUUUACAAUUGCAAACAUAUAGGAGUGUAGAAGUCAAAAUAAUAAACCUUUGGUAAAUUUGCACACCCCUCCAUUUGCUAUAUAUAAUUAUUUCCCGUGUAUGGUAUUAAUGCCUCAUAAGUUUAAAAAGUUUCUCAUAACAUGUCCUGCUGCAGUGUUGCUAAGUUCACCCACUGAAUACAGUUGUUUGUGUGGUGUUAGUUGUUUUUCUCUGUUUGUUUGUUUUAAAUAUGUAAUUUGCCUAAAAAGCCAUUGAGUUUUUCUGUUAUGGGCAAGGAAAUGUAAAGGUUCCCAUUGUUUUUCAGUGGAGUAAAAAUAUAUUGAGAACUUCCAGUGUAUGUGUACUGCAUUUAGCAUAAACAGGAAUCACAGAACUUGCUCUUUGUGAAUGAAAAAUCACUUGAAUUUAUGGCAUUGUUUUUCAUUGUUUCUCUUCACAAAGAGGAAGAUGUUGCUGCGGCUACGAUCACAGAUCUCUUUGCAAGGGUGUCUUUUAGGCUCUUUGUGGUCUCCUGUUUUCUUUCAUUGGUGCAGAGUAGUUAUAGUAACUUUCAGUACAAUAAUUCACAUUUCCCACUGCGUUUAUUUGUUUGUUAAAAACAAAUUACCUAUUUCCUUGCAAUACUUUGAAUCUCUUCUUGUGUGCAUCAUUAGUGAAAUGCUUUCUUUCUAAAUCUGAAAAGAAAACCACCAAACCAUCAAAUUGGGACUGUUACUUUUAAGGUAUUUCUGUACAUAAGUAAUGAUGAGAAUAUAAAUGUUUCACCACAUUGUGAAACAUACCAAUAACAUGGAUUUCAAAACCUGUUUUUACAGCUGGUGCUUUCUAUGUUUAUGUGCCCAGGGCUUGUGGCAGCAAAGGACCCCUUACCCAAACUGUAGGCACUUCAAAUUUGGGCAGUCUGCCCAAAUCUCAGCCACUGCCCUCCUGCAGAGCUCAGGUUGGGCACUGUGCAAAAAUUCUAGUGGAGAAAAGUACAUCCCUGUCUGACACUUUGGUGCUCUAGGAGGAUUUCCAAAAUCCUUUUUCCUGAGUUGGGUACUUUAUUGAUGUCAAAAGACAGCUAAAUAUACGAGAAAAAGAGGCAAGCAUUAUGGGCUUAGUCUCAGGUGUUCUAAGAUUCAUAGAACAUCAUGAAAAGUCAGCAUUCACCAACCAAAGAAGAGGUAUCAGAAAAAUAGAAAAAGCAAAAAGAUUAGAAACAAAUUGUAGUUUUAUAAGAUGGCAAAUUUUAAUAAGGCAUACCAAGUUAUGUUAAUAUGUAGUGUGGAAAACAACAUAAACUUGAAGUAUCAAAAUUGACAACUGACAUGAAUAAUUAUUUGGUAUAUUAGGAUAAGAUAAAAUUCUCCUCUGAAAAGUGCGUGCAAAACAUAAUUAUUUGGAAAAAAGAAUUAUCUGGGUUCACUGAUGUUUAACUAUUCAGAGGGCAUCAAUUUAGUUCAUGAAAAGUCAGAGAAAGUGCAGGAGAUACUAGGAUGGAUAAAAGUUUGAUGCAAGUAUCUUUGUUUAUUUUCUGAGAGAUGGGAGAAGGUAGACACAAUCUUGAAGUUUCUGCUUGAGGCCAACUUUAAUGGCCAGAUCAUUAUGCUGCAUAAAACCUUUUUACUGCAAUAUGCUAUUUCCAGCCUUUUUUUUAAUACUGUGCAGGCAUAAGGACUAAACGCCACAGUGGUUUGUUAAUAAAAUUGCCACUUUGCCUAAUUCAAGACUAACUCAAAUAGUGUGGAAAAUAACGUUUAGCAUCUAUGCAGUCCCAUUAAGAGGUCCGUGGUGACAUAGCAAGAGUUUGAAAUCCAAAGUCCUUCGAAUACUCCUUCCAGAAGUAUACAUGUAAUUAAGGCUGACUGAUCUUGCAGUCAGUUAUAGUAGGUGCUGAAGUUAUUUUCCUCCCUGACAAAAGGCAGAAUGGAUGAAAUCCUCUCAGAGGUUUCCUGAUAUUGGGGCAGACUGUAUCUUUGAAUGAGAGACCCUGAAGUUAUACAGCAUUGAUACGCCAGCUGUUCACCUUCUAAUCCCUCAGGUCAGGAAUCGUUCCAUGAUUCACAAAACAUACAGUCUCUCCCCAUUUUGAUAUGAGACUGCCUUUGUACUUGUGAGCUGAACCUGGUCUCGUGCUGCAUCUCUUCGCAGAACACCUGCAACUCCUUUAGGUUGUUGUAAUUCCACAACACAUCACUCUAUUUUGCCAGCAAAAAUAUUGAGUUCAGGCGCAGCUGCAUCAAUUAGCUCCUCAAGUCUGCAAAUAGUGAUACUGGUGACAUUUUUUUGGAUGAAUGAGGGACCUACUGGCAAGUACAUAAAUGAAAUGAUAAACCUUCUCUUUCAUGUUUCUUCGUGUUUAAACAUUCUUUUACCAUCGUGUAUUUUGGAAGUGACAGUCCUCUGCCCUUAGCUCAUAAAAUACUAACAAGUAUUUUGCAUCUGUCACAACCAUGCUUCACAGAUGUACAGAUAUGCGUGCUGAUUAAAUAUACAGGGGCUGCUCUGAAAAUAAUGCCUCCUACUUUAUUAAAUUGGCCCAUGACAUCAGAGAUGGAUGUUGGUGGUAUGGCAGUAGAGGUUGAACCUUCCCUCUGAUAUUCCGUUACAUUUUGCUGCCAUGCAACAGAUGGCAGCAGAGGAGAAGUCUGACAAAAUGGCAUCUGACAUGGAGCAUGUGAAACAAAGGGGUGUCAUUGAAUUCUUCAGUACAGAAAAAAUGGCACCCACUGACAUUCAUCAACACUUGCUGAACAUUAAUGGAGACCAAAAGGUGGAUGUGAGCACAAUGUGGUGGUGGGUGGUUCAUUUUAACAGUGGCGACCGUUACAUGAAAGACAAUUAUGGCAUGCAAGCUCUUGUUCAUUGCUGGCAAAAAUGCAUAGGUGAUGAUGGUGACUAUGCUGAAAAUAGUGUUUUGUAGCUGAGAAUUUGCUCUAUCAAAUAGUGUUAUU